CUGACUCGGCGGAGUACACUCCUGAUUGCAAGGGUUGCCAAACAAAAAUAUCUUCUGCUCCUUUGGUUCUUGGUCUUAUGGCUUGAAUCUGUGACGCCAACGACGGUAAGAUUUCCUCUAGCUUUCGUCGAUUCCAUUUGAGGUCUGAUGUGAGGAGGUCUGAAACCUGCAGGUCUAACACUUCCUCAGUGCAGGGGCCGAUUGGUUUCACAUUCUUAUCCAAAGAGAUCCAGGAGUCUUGCCAUACCUUUGUAGACAUACCAUUUCCAAUUGCCUUCCCCAGGUGUGGCUUUAGGAGUUCUAGGCCGUGGAGAAUGCUACGCCACCCAUGAGAGCAUACUGUAGGUACCGAUAUUUCUAGGAUGCUUUUGUUGUGACAGUAUUUCCCAAUUAAGAUCCUAGCAAGUAGGCAGUUAGGAACUGUGAGGAUUCUCCAUGCUAGUUUUGCCAAUAGGGCUUGGUUGAACAGUUGGAUGUCUCUUAGGCCUAGUCCUCCUUGAGCCUUUGGUUUUGUUAGAGUAUCCCAAGAAACCCAGCACAUUUUCCUUUUCCCAUCAGGUCCGUCCCACCAGAAUCUCGUUAGUGCAGACUGGAUUCUUUUGCAUAGUGAGACUGGUAAUAAGAAGCAUGACAUAGAGUGGUUGGGGAUAGACGUGAGAACUGACUUUAACAUUGUGAGUUUGCCGGCUUUUGACAGGAACCUCGUAGUCCAGCUCAAUGCUUUCUGUCUGAUUCUAUCUACCACGGAUGUGAAGAGAUCUUUCUUUUUUCUCCCGAAAUGCUCCGGUAAGCCUAGGUAUUUACCUAGCCCACCCUCUUUGUUGAUGUUCAGAAUUUCCUUCGCCCUUCCUUUCAUCUCUGCGGGUGUUUUUGAUGAGAAUGUGAUGGCUGAUUUAUUGCGGUUUAUUUUCUGUCCAGAUGCUUCCUCAUACUCUGAGAGUAUCUUCACUAGAUUGGUGCAGCAUUCGGC
rnacentral:lncRNA from 1 species